rnacentral:rRNA from 1 species
AUUGAACGCUGGCGGCAUGCCUUACACAUGCAAGUCGAACGGUAACAGGUCUUCGGAUGCUGACGAGUGGCGAACGGGUGAGUAAUACAUCGGAACGUGCCUAGUAGUGGGGGAUAACUACUCGAAAGAGUGGCUAAUACCGCAUGAGAUCUACGGAUGAAAGCAGGGGAUCGCAAGACCUUGUGCUACUAGAGCGGCCGAUGGCAGAUUAGGUAGUUGGUGGGAUAAAAGCUUACCAAGCCGACGAUCUGUAGCUGGUCCGAGAGGACGAUCGGCCACACUGGGACUGCGACACGGCCCAGACUCCUACGGGAGGCAGCAGUGGGGAAUUUUGGACAAUGGGCGCAAGCCUGAUCCAGCGAUGCCGCGUGCAGGAUGAAGGCCUUCGGGUUGUAAACUGCUUUUGUACGGAACGAAAAGCCCUGGGUUAAUACCCUGGGGUCAUGACGGUACCGUAAGAAUAAGCACCGGCUAACUACGUGCCAGCAGCCGCGGUAAUAC